AAUGGUAGAGGAGCAGGAUUCAUCAGUAAGAUGACAUACAAUGGCAGGGCAGCCGUGUUAUCUGAAAGGGGAGACUGCCGAAGGAUAUCAAAGGCCAGAUUUGAUAUUCUGGGGCGAUGCAGAAUAUGCGGCGCACUGUCACAGAUGUGGAGCGCUAUCAU
rnacentral:ncRNA from 1 species